GCCUUUGGCAUUUUUAUUACCGUCUCGAGUCCCCAGAUUUCCAGAAAUAUACUAUCUUCCCUGCCAAAGCAUGAGACAAAUCAUAGUCAGCUCCUAUGGACAAUUUGAAGCAGCCCCAUGUCCCAUACCUGGUAUUAAAACGUAAACAUAUUCCGAUAGCAUUUCUAUGUUUUUAAAGACGCCAAAAUUCCCACUACAUCUGGCUAUUAAACUGAUUCUCUAUGUUUCAAGUGUGAUGAUUCAUACUUAUUAAUUCAACUUAACUUAACAGAUAGCAAAACUUUAGAAGUAAGAUUUUUGUCACUUUGAAGCCAUUCGCCAAAUGCUCAAGAAUUAAAAUGUUCUCAGAAUAUCAGGACAACAGCUAUUAAAUACAAAUAGAAAAAUGCACUGAGGAUAUUGUAACGUUUUAGGACAGGAGUGCUGGGAAGGAAGCAUUAUUAAAUUACCAUUGAAUUACAAUGAAUUAACAUCCCUUAAGUAAGACAAAUUGCUUAGGAAUCUUUCGGUCUGUGUGCUCUAAGUGGACAUUGAGGGGAUACAAUUCAGACAAAUCAGGCGUUAUAUAUUGUUGGCCAUCUUUUGGAGAACAAUGAAAAAGUACAGCAUCUUAGAUACAAAAGGGAAUGAACUACAGUGAGCUCCAACAAUAUCAUGAGAGAAUACUGGGGACAUCAGAACCAAGGACCUCUGUGGUGCUUUCAGGAGAAGGGGUUCUUCACUAUGCAAAGGAGAGAGGAAGAAUUAACAAGGAUCUACAGAGGAGAAAGGAGGAAGUGACAAGGCUGUGGGAAGAACAAAGGAAGUGACGGAUCUUCUCUGGGGAGAGUGAGUAGACAUAUUAGUUACUUUUUGUGGCUGUGAUAGACACCUGGCAAAGGCAACUCGGGGAAGAAAGGGUUUGCUUAGGUUUAUGGUUCUAGAAGGAGAGAGUCCAUUAUGGUAGAGAAGUUAUGACAACACACAGGGAGAGCAUGGUGACCAGAGAG
rnacentral:lncRNA from 1 species